UUUGCUUAUUUAUUCUGCUGUCCUCUAAUUUUGGCAUUCAUCUAUUUCAGCAUGGAAAGUGCGUGUAAUCAAAGAUGCAUAUUAGGCUAUGUUUGUUAUUAUUCAAAAUUUAAACUGAAGCUCUUUGCUUGCUAUGGAAGAGUCUUUUUGUGGGUUGGUGGAUUGAUUUUUGGCAAAAGUCUCACCAGCCAUGGAUUCACGUUCGCAGCAGCCAAUGAUUAAUUGUUCAAGCUCAGGUCGUAAGAGAAAUAAAGAAAAUCAGACAGAUGGUUCACUUGCUGGUAGCCGUUAGCAAGGGUCUGGUAAUGCUCUAAAUUUAUUUCUGCCGAGACGCGCUAAAAAAAUUAAGAAAUCCAGAACCACCGGGAAUUCGUCAUCCUUUGACAAUAUCAGCUCAGGGAAAAAUGGCACCAAUCUAUCUCCCCUCUCCAGCGGUCGUCGGUAUGCAUUGGUUGCAGUAACAUGUGAAUCGGAAUAUAUUGGCAAAGUCACGGGUCGUACCCCGCUAUCAGCUGUAGACCAGAAUGCAUCCAAUCAAUCAAUCAGACGUUCUCCGUUGUGCAAUGUUGAUCAGAAUGCAGUUCCUGGCUUUGUGUUGGAUUCUACCAUCACAGGUAGUUAGCAAAUAAGCUGUGUUGGAUUCCAUUUUAAUUGUCCACCUUUAUAUUAAAAGGUAUAAAGGUAUAUGUAGUGUUAUGUUAAGCCAUGUUUGUGACCUAAUUAACUGUUGGUUUUAAGAAUUUGUAAAAACAUUUGCCAAUAAAAUUAGUUCAUAUUCUGUAGACAUGUCGUAAUAUGUAGUUGUGUUUUCUGACAAAAAAAUUUAAAGCAGUUAAAAUGUAUAAUCCGGGACAUUGUGCUUCAUCAACAUUUGCGGCUAUUGAGACUAUAUAGAUAUGUAACGUUCUCCGUUGUGUAACGUUCAUAACUAUAGUAGUUGUGUACAAUGUUGUCAUUUUCAAUUUGCCUGGCUGAUACCAGAAGUCCUAC